UGCGGAGUGGGCAUGUCGCAUCACAAGGGCCACCCAGAACUGGCUCAACUCCCAUCAAGCCAAGUUCCCGGAGGAGAUCACCCAGCUCGUCAUGCUAGAGCACUUUUUCAAUGGGCUCCCCAACGACAAGGCGACGACGCAUUCGUAGGUAAUCCAUAUCACUUUCGAUGCCUCUUACUGCGCCUACCAUGGUGACCACGGGUAACAGGGAAUCAGGGUUCGAUUCUGGAGAGGGAGUCUGAGAAAUGGCAACCACAUGCAAGGAAGGCAGCAGUCGCGCAAAUGACCCACUCCCGACGUGGGAAGGUAGUGACG